rnacentral:lncRNA from 1 species
AAAUAUUAUUAUAAUCCUGUAUUUUUCUUUCUCCAUUUACAGUUUCAUCAUACACAAAGGCACGUUCAGGUUCGUUUAAAGCUCUUGAACAAAGUGAAAGGAAAAUUUGUCAACAGGGGGACAAGGCAGUCAAAGGCAUCACUGCAGCAAGCAAGAUUUAAACCUCCAUCAUGUCAUUGAUCCACCCCCAAAUGCCCUCUCCUGCGGGUUCCUCACGGCAAGGCAGAAUUUUUAUCAUCUUGCAGUUGCACUGAACCUUGCCAAAAGAAUCAGCAAAGGAAGGGUACAUGGAAAUCACUGUCCUUGCAUUUAGUGGUGCCUGUUCUGCAGUAACGCUGGAUCCGGCUGAGGGAACAUGAAGAAUUUAUGAAGACGCACACCCGUCUCGGUUGGCCCAACAGGGUUCGUGGUCUGCCAGCUGUGCACCUACUGCAGAGACGAAAAGUACCCUGCAGAGCUGGCAUGCCCUGUGUGACUCCAGAGCUCAAGAAAGGUGAGGGAGAAGGACUCACAGCAACUGGGAAGUUCCCACGGAUGAGACAGGACCACAAACAGCAAAGAUGGAAGUGGUUUGCACCGUAUGCCCUUUGA